UCAUAAAACUUAUGCACAAAGUUUAUUAACAUGAAAUUACACAUUCUUUGAAAUUUUGAGUCAAGAUCUUAUCAAAUUGCUCAAGAUAUAGCUCAAGACACAACCACUAGUAAAUCGGAUUACUUACUACCCUUAGAUUGCAUGCACUGAAUUCAAAAUCCAAUAACUCCUUCACUUUAACUUGAAAUCUAGCAAGUAGUUUACAAAAAGUGUAGCCGCAAAAGUGCUCUCUCUAGUCAAAAUCGCCGAUCCUCAAUUGCUAUCUAUAUGCGUACGUUAUGCCAAAAAGAAUGAUAGUAGCUCCCAAAUCAACAACUUAACUUUGAGCGCUUGUAUCUCCUUCAUAUAAACUUCAAACCAUACAAAACUUGCACCAAAACCAUAGCCAAAAACCUAAACCUGCUGAUCUUAGCCUUCAAAGCUCAAAUGGCUUCGAGAAACUAAUCCUAAUCCCUAAUAUGGCCUCGGGCAGCCUUCUCAAAGCCCAUUGGUCAUGAAAUUUAACCAAUAGGAAUGGAGAUUUUCAUUAUUCAUCUCCAUUAAUCUAUAUUGGUGCCCUAAU
rnacentral:lncRNA from 1 species